AUGCCAACUACAAAUACCAGUGUGCCAACUGAUGUGUCAGUUAGCAGCAUGGUCACAGUCAAAACCACCACAGCUGGUCAGGAAGGCACCACUGCAACUGCAAGUCCCAAGGUGCCUACUGAUAGAGAUGCUUCAAUGCCAAACACAAAAGGAGGUGAUCCAACUAUCAAAGUGCCGUCCCCAAGAGCUGACUUUCAGCAACCAUUAACACAAGAGGAGGUGUUCGACAUUAUAAGUAGGUGCAAGCCUCCAAGGCCGCCAACUACAACACUAUUGCGAACUAAGUCAGUGAAUGAUGCACCCGUGUUUGUGCCGCAAGGAGAUGCCCUGGUCCUUGAACCCUUACGAAGAUCAAACUCUUAUCAUGGUGACGGGUUCUGCGAUGCACCAUCUUUUGACCUCGGCAUAGAUGGUGAUGCUCCAGCACCUGCUCCAGCAGCAGAAAUAGCGGAAGUCGGUGUGAUCAGCAUCGAUGAGUGUGAGUUGGACCCAGCAGCUGUGAAUGAAGGAUGUGAUGCUGCUGAUGCUGGCAAGGCAAUAGCUCAAGAACUAGAUAUUGGUUCACCAGAGAAUUGCCACACCCCGAUAUGCGCAGAACCAGAACUUGGCACGAGCACAUCUCAAAGGUCUUCAUUCAUCGACUACAACAAGAAGAAGACUUUCAGCACCAAUGAGGUAGUGAACAAGCUUUACGCUGCCCUCUUGUAUUGGGUCAGGCAUCACAAAGGAGCAGAGGAUCCACAUGGCAUCCCUGAGAUAAUCAGGUAUGGUGCUUUCUACAUUUCUUUAAAGGAGUUAGUUGAUUCGAUGAAGCCGGUUCAAUGGUUGUCAAAAAUUGUUAUUGAGACUGGAAUCUUACACAUCAUGGAUAACUUACCAGAAGGGUCAAAGAAGGUUGUUAUGCCACUGAGGUUUUCUAUAAAAUUAUAG
rnacentral:rRNA from 1 species